rnacentral:rRNA from 1 species
UAGGGAAUAUUGGACAAUGGGGGCAACCCUGAUCCAGCCAUGCCGCGUGAGUGAUGAAGGCCUUAGGGUUGUAAAGCUCUUUUGUGCGGGAAGAUAAUGACGGUACCGCAAGAAUAAGCCCCGGCUAACUUCGUGCCAGCAGCCGCGGUAAUACGAAGGGGGCUAGCGUUGCUCGGAAUCACUGGGCGUAAAGCGCACGUAGGCGGACUCUUAAGUCGGGGGUGAAAUCCUGGAGCUCAACUCCAGAACUGCCUUCGAUACUGGGAGUCUUGAGUUCGGGAGAGGUGAGUGGAACUGCGAGUGUAGAGGUGAAAUUCGUAGAUAUUCGCAAGAACACCAGUGGCGAAGGCGGCUCACUGGCCCGAUACUGACGCUGAGGUGCGAAAGCGUGGGGAGCAAACA